GGUGGGACAGAGCGUCAAGAGUCAGAAACCAACCUCUUUGCACAGUUUUAUCAAGUUAGGGGUUUAUUGAGCUUCACGUCUGCAAGAACUACGGUUGAUUGAGAUAUAAGGUAAAAAAACAGAGGAAGUGUGCAGUGACAGAAAGGCAGCCCACAUACGAGUCAAAACAGGAAAUAACCUUGAUGUUGGAAAGUUAUCUCAAAGUGAUGGAGACAGUGAAGAAGAUGGCUCCAUUCUCUGUGUUUCUGCUCUGCUGCUUCGCCGUCGCAACCCAAGGUUGUGACCAGUAUGCUGCAACAGGCGAAGACAUCAUUGUUCCUGUGGAUUACACAGUAAAAUCUG